UAACGAGUGGUUGCUGAGGUAC
rnacentral:siRNA from 1 species